rnacentral:rRNA from 1 species
CACGUAGGGCGCAAGCGUUGUCCGGAAUUAUUGGGCGUAAAGAGCUCGUAGGCGGUCUGUUGCGUCCGCUGUGAAAACUCGGGGCUUAACCCCGAGCCUGCAGUGGAUACGGGCAGACUAGAGGUAGGUAGGGGAGAAUGGAAUUCCCGGUGUAGCGGUGAAAUGCGCAGAUAUCGGGAGGAACACCGGUGGCGAAGGCGGCAUCCUGGACCGAUAUUGACGCUGAUGCGCGAAAGCCAGGGGAGCAAACGGG